rnacentral:rRNA from 1 species
GGAGGAAUACCGGNGGCGAAGGCGGCCCCCUGGACAAAGACUGACGCUCAGGUGCGAAAGCGUGGGGAGCAAACAGGAUUAGAUNCCNUGGUAGUNCACGCCGUAAACGAUGUCGAUUUGGAGGCUGUGUCCUUGAGACGUGGCUUCCGGAGCUAACGCGUUAANUCGACCGCCUGGGGAGUACGGCCGCAAGGUUAAAACUCAAAUGAAUUGACGGGGGCCCGCACAAGCGGUGGAGCAUGUGGUUUAAUUCGAUGCAACGCGAAGAACCUUACCUACUCUUGACAUCCACGGAACUUGCCAGAGAUGGCUUGGUGCCUUCGGGAACCGUGAGACAGGUGCUGCAUGGCUGUCGUCAGCUCGUGUUGUGAAAUGUUGGGUUAAGUCCCGCAACGAGCGCAACCCUUAUCCUUUGUUGCCAGCACUUCGGGUGGGAACUCAAAGGAGACUGCCGGUGAUAAACCGGAGGAAGGUGGGGAUGACGUCAAGUCAUCAUGGCCCUUACGAGUAGGGCUACACACGUGCUACAAUGGCGUAUACAAAGAGAAGCAAACUCGCGAGAGCCAGCGGACCUCAUAAAGUACGUCGUAGUCCGGAUUGGAGUCUGCAACUCGACUCCAUGAAGUCGGAAUCGCUAGUAAUCGUAGAUCAGAAUGCUACGGUGAAUACGUUCCCGGGCCUUGUACACACCGCCCGUCACACCAUGGGAGUGGGUUGCAAAAGAAGUAGGUAGCUUAACCUUCGGGAGGGCGCUUACCACUUUGUGAUUCAUGACUGGGGUG